CAACUUUCAGCAGUGGAUGUCUAGGCUCGCACAUCGAUGAAGAACGCUGCGAACUGCGAUACGUAAUGCGAAUUGCAGGAUUCAGUGAGUCAUCGAAAUUUUGAACGCAUAUUGCACUUUCGGGUUGUGCCUGGAAGUAUGUCUGUAUCAGUGUCCGUA
rnacentral:rRNA from 1 species